rfam:Mus musculus chromosome 7, GRC primary reference assembly.
CAAAAACAGCUCUUUUAGAAUUUUUCUGGCUUUCUGAUUUUGAUCAGAAAACCUAA